AGUGAACGCUGGCGGUAGGCCUAACACAUGCAAGUCGAACGGCAGCACAGUAAGAGCUUGCUCUUACGGGUGGCGAGUGGCGGACGGGCGAGGAAUACAUCGGAAUCUACUUUUUCGUGGGGGAUAACGUAGGGAAACUUACGCUAAUACCGCAUACGACCUACGGGUGAAAGCAGGGGAUCUUCGGACCUUUCGCGAUUGAAUGAGCCGAUGUCGGAUUAGCUAGUUGGCGGGGUAAAGGCCCACCAAGGCGACGAUCCGUAGCUGGUCUGAGAGGAUGAUCAGCCACACUGGAACUGAGACACGGUCCAGACUCCUACGGGAGGCAGCAGUGGGGAAUAUUGGACAAUGGGCGCAAGCCUGAUCCAGCCAUACCGCGUGGGUGAAGAAGGCCUUCGGGUUGUAAAGCCCUUUUGUUGGGAAAGAAAAGCAGCAGGUUAAUACCCCGCUGUUCUGACGGUACCCACAGAAUAAGCAACGGCUAACUUCGUG
rnacentral:rRNA from 1 species